AGCCUGAUCCAGCCAUCUCGGGUGUAAGGACGACGACCCUAUGGGUGUAACUUCUUUGUAUAGGGAUAAACCUAGAUUACGUGUAUCUAGCUGAAGUACUAUACGAAUAAGCACGGGCUAACUCCGUGCCAGCAGCCGCGGUAAUACGGAGGGUGCAAGCGUUAUCCGGAUUUAUUGGGGUUUAAAGGGUCCGUAGGCGGGAUCUGUAAGUCAGUGGUGAAAUCUCAUAGCUCAACUAUGAAACUGCCAUUGAUACUGCAGGUCUUGAGUAAGGUAGAAGUGGCUGGAAUAAGUAGUGUAGCGGUGAAAUGCAUAGAUAUUACUUAGAACACCAAUUGCGAAGGCAGGUCACUAUGUCUUUAACUGACGCUGAUGGACGAAAGCGUGGGGAGCGAACAGGAUUAGAUACCCUGGUAGUCCACGCUGUAAACGAUGCUAACUCGUUUUUGGGUUUUCGGAUUCAGAGACUAAGCGAAAGUGAUAAGUUAGCCACCUGGGGAGUACGAACGCAAGUUUGAAACUCAAAGGAAUUGACGGGGGCCCGCACAAGCGGUGGAUUAUGUGGUUUAAUUCGAUGAUACGCGAGGAACCUUACCAAGGCUUAAAUGGGAAUUGACAGGCUUAGAAAUAGGCUUUUCUUCGGACAAUUUUCAAGGUGCUGCAUGGUUGUCGUCAGCUCGUGCCGUGAGGUGUUAGGUUAAGUCCUGCAACGAGCGCAACCCCUGUCACUAGUUGCCAUCAUUCAGUUGGGGACUCUAGUGAGACUGCCUACGCAAGUAGAGAGGAAGGUGGGGAUGACGUCAAAUCAUCACGGCCCUUACGCCUUGGGCCACACACGUAAUACAAUGGCCGGUACAGAGGGCAGCUACACAGCGAUGUGAUGCAAAUCUCGAAAGCCGGUCUCAGUUCGGAUUGGAGUCUGCAACUCGACUCUAUGAAGCUGGAAUCGCUAGUAAUCGCGCAUCAGCCAUGGCGCGGUGAAUACGUUCCCGGGCCUUGUACACACCGCCCGUCAAGCCAUGGAAGUCUGGGGUACCUGAAGUCGGUGACCGUAACAGGAG
rnacentral:rRNA from 1 species